UAGGGAAUCUUCCGCAAUGGGCGAAAGCUUGACGGAGCAACGCCGCGUGAGUGAUGAAGGUCUUCGGAUCGUAAAACUCUGUUAUUAGGGAAGAACAAAUGUGUAAGUAACUAUGCACGUCUUGACGGUACCUAAUCAGAAAGCCACGGCUAACUACGUGCCAGCAGCCGCGGUAAUACGUAGGUGGCAAGCGUUAUCCGGAAUUAUUGGGCGUAAAGCGCGCGUAGGCGGUUUUUUAAGUCUGAUGUGAAAGCCCACGGCUCAACCGUGGAGGGUGAUUGGAAACUGGAAAACUUGAGUGCAGAAGAGGAAAGUGGAAUUCCAUGUGUAGCGGUGAAAUGCGCAGAGAUAUGGGGGAACACCAGUGGAGAAGGCGACUUUCUGGUCUGUAACUGACGCUGGUGUGCGAAAGCGUGGGGAUCAAACAGG
rnacentral:rRNA from 1 species